AGGAAACACAAUACUAUUAAUAGCUCAAAUUAAAAGUGACUUUGAAAAGCCCCCUGCCUUAGAAGCACUCCUGAGUAAAAGAGAGCAUGUUCUUGUUCCUCAUGGAGUACCUGGCAAAGGGGGUGGGAGAAAGGGAAUGACAGGGCAGUAGACUGAGGAACAAAGGGCACUCCACAUGACAGAAUAAAUUAAAUGUAGAGUUAUGUUUACUGGAAAGAAGUGGUAAACAAUUUGCUCUUUAUUUUUUAGCCAAAAGGCUAGAGGGCACAGCUGGGCAGAUGGCAGUCACUCCUAGUACAAGUCAUAACAACAGUGUCACAUUGCAGCUGGCUGGGCCUUUCAGAUUUUUCCCCAAAGGCUUUCCUUUCUACUUAUGAAAACUUGGUGAGGUAGGCUGGGUUGGCUUUUUAUAAGUGAGAAGGCUAAGACAUGUGUGGGCCAUUCUCAAGAGCUGGGCCUGGACCUCAAACGGCAGGGUGAGGUAAAGAGCUCCAGGUUUAGACUGCCUGACAUUUUAAGUGGAGUUACUUUAAAAUUUCAAGGAUUUGUAAUUUUGGCCACAUGGCUACUUCUGCUGGCCAUAGCAACACAGACUAUCCUCAAGUGAUACCCUGGACAAAUAACCUGAUGAGCCUUUCCAAGCUUAGCAAGGCUAGUCCUAAAACGGCCAUGUAGUCAAGAGUACUACUGAAAUGGAAUUACUGACAUGGAAAGAAUGGUUCUUGAGUAGGGUUAUGAAGAGGACUAGGAAAUUGACCUAUUCUGCACACUGGCAUCCAAACUACAGAAAAAUCAAGGAGAAAUCUGUAUAUGAAAUAAGAGCCUCUGGAGAGCAUUACAUGAACUGAUGCUAAAUGAAGUGAGUAGAACCAAGAGAACAUUGUACACAGCAACAACAAGACUGUAUGAUAAUCAAUUCUGAUAGACUUGGCUCUGAAAAUGAGGUAAUUCAGGCCACUUCCAAUAGACUUGUGAUGGAGAGAGCCAUCUGCACCCAGAGAGAGGACUAUGGGGAUUGACUGUGGCACACAACAUAGUAUUUUCACCUUUUUUGGUUGUUGUUUGCUGGCAUUUUUGUUUUCUCAUUUUUUCCUCUUUUUGAUCUGAUUUUUCUUGUGCAGCAUGAUAAAUGUAGAAAUAUGUAUAGAAGAACUGUACAUGUUUAACAUAUAUUGAAUUAAUUGCUGUCUGGUGGAGAGGAUGGGGGAAAGGUAAGGAGAAAAAUCUGGAACACAAGGUUUUGCAAGGAUGAAUGUUGAAAACUAUCUUUGUAUAUAUUUUGGAAAUAAAAAGCUAUUAUUAAAAAGAAAAAAGAAAAAUGUAAAAAAUUGGAAAAGAAAAGAAAUGAAAAACUCCUAUUAGCUCUGAAUGUACAAUUCAAAUGCAUUUUGUUUUAAUAUGAAAAUAGUUUGGAAUAGGAAAAAAAAAAUCUGUUGCGGUAGAUCAGAUCAUUUUUUUUCCAAGGGUAAAACUAUAAUUUUAUCUACCCAAGGGGUUCAAUAACAAAAACAACAGUCCCAUAUACACCAAAAAUACCAACAGCAACAUUUUUUGUGCUAGCAAGGAAAAUGCCCAUCAACUAGGAAAUGGCUAAACAAAGGGCUAUAAAUAUUAUAAAAUAUUAGUGUGUUGUAGGAAAUCAUAAAAGUGAUGAAAACCAUCAUCCAGAAUGGGAAAAUUUAUGAGAACUUAAAUAAACAAUAGAAACUAGAAAGUGACAUGAACAAUGACUACAACAACGAAACCAAAACAAUCAAAACUGUAUAGUGUGACAGUAUAAAGAUCAAGAUGAAGAGCUAUAAGAAAACAACUCCCUACUUCUUUGUAAAAGUGGGGAAUCAAGGUUGUGGAAGACUGCAUGUACUGUCACAUUUUAGAGAACAUGUUGGUUAGUUUUGCUGAACUUGAUUCCUUUCCUCCUCUUUUUAAUUCAGAAUUACAAAAGAAAUUAUUUCAUAGAAGAGGGAGAAAGAUAAAAUACAUGUGAAGUAAAAACAAAAUAUCAAUAAGAUUUAUUUAAAAAAUAAAAUUACUGUAAUUUUCUUUUAUUUACUUAAACAUUUAAAAAUCUGCUGCUGUUCUUCCUUUUAUUCGAUAAGCUCCAUAUCACAGACCCACAAACCAACUCUGUUUUACAUUUGAAAAAAUCUUUUUGUUAUCCAGGUUCUAUCACCAACAAGCAUGGCAGGCUAAUACAAUACUGAAAAAUAAAUGCAAAUUUGUUUUUUUCA